ACUUUAACCGACCUUAGCCUUAGCUGUUCCUGAGUUGUAUUCCCAUGGCCUCCUUCUCCGAACUCCCCAGACCCACCUUUCCAAUUUCCAUCUCUAUAUAUCUCCCCAUAUCCAUCUCUAUAUCCACCCACACCUCUCUCUCUCUCUCUCUCUCUACAAAUCUCCCCAUCUCCUCCAAUGGCAUCAAACACCCAAUCCUCUUUCGAAGAUUUCUUGCCAAUAAUGGCCCACAAAUUGGGUGGGGACGCGUUGAUCGGAGAGCUCUGUAAUGGGUUUCGGUUACUGAUGGACGGUGAUAAAGGGGUCAUCACUUUCGACAGUCUCAAGAAAAACGCGGCCAUUUUGGGGUUGCAGGAAUUGACGGACGGCGAUUUGAGAAGUAUGUUGAGAGAAGGCGAUUUCGACGGCAACGGGGCCCUCAAUCAGAUGGAGUUUUGUGUGCUCAUGUUCAGGAUCUCAACAAUCAACAGGCUUACAAGAUGCCAACAUCAGAGGAGCCUUCUAUGGAACUUCCUGGUACGCGGCGUUGGAAGCUGGUAAUUCUCCAUUGAUUACCAGGUAAGCGGGAAUUGGAUGAUCGUCUAUCUAGCUCCCAAUAAGGUCCAAAACCACCCUCUCCGAUCUUAUUAGCAUCAGAGAAGUUAUCAGUAGCAGCAGAUACACUAGUGAAACUGAACCAUGGUAAAUCAACUUCCUUCUUUCUAUUCUUUUGACUCUGACUGGCUUCAUUUAGUGUGUUGUUUCCAGCUCCAAUGCUUGUGCCAAGAUCAAACGACAACAAGUCCUUCCCUGCAACAUUAAGUGUAUACGGAUUUGGAUCAUUGAUGCAUAACAAACACAUGUAGAAUAACAAAUGCAAUGAUUUAUAUUUGCCAAAGUAAACUUGUCUAGCAGGCUCAAUCAACAUACAUGUUUUACAAGCCAA